rnacentral:lncRNA from 1 species
AGCAGUAAUUGUUUUCAAGAAAACUGUAUCAGGGCUGGAUUCGAGCUCUUUGUACUCAGGAGUUCCCUUCUCAGGCAUGAAUUUUCGGCUUAUAGUAGGGCGGUUGGGGAGGUAGCCUGCAUAAGGGUACUGUCCAAAGUUGACAGCUGCAUGGAGAGCAGAAGCAGUCCAUAUGAUGAUAGUGCAUGUUUCUACUAGGUCUUCGCGAGUCUGCAUUUUAGGCCACCAGGGCUCAUCUUUUUUGUCACCAUGGCCUUCCUCUACAAGCUCCUUCCACCAGGAUUGGAGUUCAGUGUCUUUUUGAAUUAUGUCAUCAGUCUUGUAGUAGAAAGAGCAACAGUCUUCAACCCAAGUUUUAAUUGCAAACCAGAUUUCAAUCCCAUCAACAGCAUAUGGAUAGUCCUCGAUCAGUAGGCGAAGACCAUGUGGAGAAUUUGCAUCCUUGAUUGCAACUCCUCUGUUGAUCAAAGGCAAAGCAAUGUAAUUAGAAUAAGGAAUGGAUAUUUAUUACUUAUAUUGUGCUCAUUUGAGUUACUUAUGCAGUAGCUAAUAACUCAAAAAGUGUAGAGUUUUGUUUACCUCUUGAUGAGAUCUUCAGGGAAAGCUUGCUCAGUGAAAACCCAAUCCUUAUAAACCACUGAAGACAUCUCCAUGGCAUACCUAGCUGGAAAAACUGUCGUCUCCAGAACGCCGCCAGCAUUAAUCAGGAUUUGCCUGGCAAAUGCAUUUAUGUUCAUGGUGUCACGGAAGUGAGGAUGCAGAAGUUUGUAAAUUGGAUGAACCACGCUUAGCUGUCUGUUUGUAGCUAUUACAACUGGCUCACACACUGCAUGGGUGUUCAACCUGUAGGCAAAAAAUUAAAGGAUUAUCAGAAACCCAUUCAAAGUAAUAUGAUGAAUUUAAUUUUAAAGCUUUCUUUGUUUGAAAGAUUAAUACCAGUGACUGAUAAGUUGAUGAUAUCCAGAGUCAUUUACAGCCACAUAAGCUUUAGCCAGUUGCCAUAUGGAGCCUUCUACACCUUCUUCAGAUGGUGUAUAUACUUUACUAAUGCGACCAAAUCGAUCUCCAUCAGGAUGAGGCAAGCUUAAUUCAAUCACCAAUGGCUUCAAAGUUCCAUCACUUUUCAAGAAAAGGAUUGUUCUGCUAGCAUAGAUCUUGUUCGAAGUUGAGUUUAUCCGCCUCAGGUAUGGCAUCAAUGCAUCAUGAUGAUCUAAUAUGAAUAACUUGUUCUGCUUGAACGCCUAUCCAACCAAAUUCAUUUUCAUCAUUAUGAAAUGAUAUAAAAUCAACAUAAGCUAAUUGCAAUGUAAAGGAAGCAAAUCCAAGAUAUUACCUCAUCCACUGUUAGUCCAUCCAUGGUAUUCCCUAUAUCUUGUUCUGUUAUUGUACUAGUUUGAUCACCGUAAACUUUUGGGUCUAGUUUGCUUGCUGGUGGAAAUUCCUGCAGUUCCGUUAGAAGCAGAUAUGGUUAAAGAUGAACGAAAUUGACCCUCGAAAGUUUUGUUUUCUUUUUGUCCAUUAUCAUUGCAAAACAUCAUACAAAAAUGUUGUGAAGAUUACUUGGAGACGACGGAUGUUGACAGGGUUCACUCCAGCCAGCAUUUCUCUGGCAAAUUCUUCAUCUGUCCUCCAAGCAGAUUUAUCCUCUGCUCCAAAUCAUUAAAACAUCACAAUUAGAUAAAAGGAACUAGUACAUGAUAUGGUAGGCUAUUGCUUAAAGACUCUCAAUUUAGAAUUUAAUAUUGGUGGAACCAUAUACCUUUGAUCACUUGAGGCAUGGGGAAUCUGAGCAAUUGUGCACUGUCAGUUCGGAAAAUUUCCUUGAGCAUCUCUGCAGGGAUGUUGUCUCCGAUAUCCUUCAAUAAACCUUCUGGCAAGGGAAUGCCUCCUUCAUAGAGUUUAAGAACAUCCUCAAAGCUGUCGAACUCGUUAGGAGUCUUAUCAAACAGGGCUUCUAGCUCCGGUCUAAUGAAUUGAGCUAUGGAUUUCAGUGCAUAAGCCAGGAAGUCUGAUAACUUCAAGUGUCCAAAUCGUUCAUCUCUUGGCACAUAAAUGUUUAAGCUCAUAAGAAGUGGCAACCUACUCUCGCUGUUAGAAUCUAUUGGAAUAAGAUCAGAAAAAUCUUAGUGAUAAUUACAACAUCAGUUAUUUAAAAUCCAAAUUAGAAUAUCAACUUUUACAGUAGAACAAUACAAAAUAAUAAUAAGAUCCUUCUUGUGACUGCUAAUCAAUGCUUUGAGGAAGAAAAUAUAGAGAGAGAUAUUUAAAUGGCUAACCUGUCUCUGUUGCUGGUCGGCCAGUUCUUCCCCUGCGAGGGUAAGGGUACUUGCUAGACCCUCCCAGCGUAGGACGGGCGUAUUUGGGACCCUUAUCAGGGUUCCCUAGAUCAUUGUAGUAAGCAUAGUCAUAGACCCUGUCCCAUUCCUGGAGCUCUCCCUUUCCAUCUCCUCUCAAAUGUACUAGUUCUUCUUCUCUGUAUUUUUGCAGCGGCAAUGGUGUUUCACUUGGGAGAAAUGUCUGCACAAAUAUAUUGCAGGCAUGAACUUUUGUCUUUAACUUACAAUACAAGUCACUAAUAUACUCAUAACAUACUAGGCUUGCACUAAGAAGUUAGAACUGCCAUCAGCUACAAUGAAUGGUGUGAAUUAUUCGUUACCUUGUUAACGAAGAAAACACGGUCCUUCGUGUAUUUUUCUGCAGGAUACACCCAUGAGUUGCAAACAAAGUGGACCCGGCCCUCACCAGGAACAUCUUCAAGGGUGACAGUCUUAAGGAAGAAUUCAGUGUGAUGAUUGUUUAUUAUUAAGAAGGCUCCUGGAACUCCUAUUUCGUCUUCCCAGUCAAAGGUAACCUUGAAUGCAGACUCUCCUGCUGUUAAAGGAGUGAUUGUGGUGAUCCAGUCUUCCAGAUAUGCUGGAUUUCCAAGUUUCCCCUGAAACCCUUUUUCUACAAAAACACGUUAGUUCAGAAAAUAAUUGUAUAUCAGGUCUUAGUUGGAGCCCGCCAUUUUAUGCAAGUUGCUAUAAUUGUCAAUGCAUGUCAAGGUCUCAUAACUCAUAAACUUAGUUUGAGAAAUAACUGCCGCUGUUUUUGUUGGUGUAUAGGUGUAGCUGCUGUGAUGGAAUUAGAAUAUGAAGGUUCUAUUCUUGUUAGGAAGGCUGCCUUGGAUCAUAGUCCAAGUGUACAGCAGAGAAUGUAAUAGCAUUUUGCCACCUGUCAUUAUCUUAUAGGGUAAUGAUUGAAUGGCUAGAUUUAGUGAUGUAAUAGGGAAUAUCUCCUCCCUAACGGUUUUUGUCAGUGUCAUGAUAUAUACAUGUUUUGGUGCUGGGCUGAUAAAGCUAGCAUUCUUCUAAAAGCUCUCUCUCUCUCACACACAGAAAUCUGACCUCUCUUUACUCAAAAGCUCUCUGCAUUUUCAUUGAGAUUUAUUACAUGUUUUGAUUGAAUCUAUAUGCAUGAUAAUGUUCUGAAUAUGCUAACAGUUUUUUCAGAACAUUCAAACACAUCCCAAAAAGAAUUGGUUCUGAAUGAAAACCAUAUAAUCUAAAAGUCUCAAAAGCUAUGCCAACAGCCAACUACAUGGAGCUUCAUUUUCAGGUUAACUGGUAGCUAGACUGGUAGUUGGCGUUCACAGGUGAGGAUAAGAUUAACUUUCCUGUCUAAUCACUUCAUGACAUGGCCAUGAUUUAAAAAUCAUUCUCACAAGCUUAAUUAUGCCACUUAUUGAAAACUAAACUGGUUUUUUAAUCAUACUUUUUGUAACCCAAUUUUCCAAAUAUGCUGGCUUUCCAACUUUUCCUUGCGACCCCUUUUCUACAUAAACAGAUCAAAUUCAAGAAAUGUUCAAUUACAAGACCUCCAGAUCAAAUUGAGAUGUUCUGUUUAUCUCUUUUGUGGUUAUGGUGUUAAGAUGUGUGAAAACAGCAUAUUUAAAAAGAUUAUAUAUUUACUUCAAAAACACUAUAAUAAUUACUAGUAACUUGGCACCAUUAAAUCCCAUGUAAAAUCAUUGAAGCUAAUUAAUCUAGAAGCAAACUAAAAGGUAAAGAGCAUUCUCACCAGGGUCACCCUUAACGGAACUAAUGAGCCGCAGAGAAACCGCUUUGCCUAACAGCUCAUGAACACGAUCAAGAACCGAUGCUUUAAAAUCGUUCAAGUCCAGAACAUUCUUCUUCAUCAACACCACUCUCCCUUUGAUCUUCUUGCCCUCAUGACCUGUCUCAAACUUAGUUUUCUCUUCCUCCAUUUCUUUGGGGUGUGGAUCAAUGGUGAUGUUCUGGGAUGUCUUGGCAGCUGUCGAAGCCGAAGUCAACGGUUGAGAUCGUGUAACAUAAGUCAUGCACAAGAAACGAGGCAUUUUCAUAAAACUCGUCGGCAACAGAACUAGUCUGUGAUUGACAAAUGUUACAUGAUCUGGUUUGUUGACUGUUGCUGCAACAACUGAGUUCAACUGAGCUCUACAUGGAGCUUUUGUCCUGAAUUUCAUCAAAGGAGUGAGAUACUUAAAAUGCAGCAUGGGGUGUUCUGCUUCAAGAACUAUGGGGGAGUUAACAGAAAAAGGUUUGAAGAUCUCAUUGUGAAGAGAAUGGUGUGUGAUAUUUAUGAGAUGUGCGAGUUCACUGUUCAAUGUAUAUAAUAAUAUAAUACAUAAAAAUAAAUUUUUUUUUUUUUUAAAGACUUCGGCUCUACUUUGCGUGGUCUUCAGGGUUGACUUAAAUACCUAGUCCUUUUCUAUUUUUUGUGAUUCAAGGUAGCUUCCACCCUGUUAGUAUGAAAAUUGUAUUGUCAUUUCCUAGACUCUAGUAUUGGUUAGGAAUUAGUGUGUGAACGUGUUUUACUGGAAGCUUUGGUGCAACACAUUCAUUCUGGAUCUUUGAAGUAUGACAUGAUCGAUAUGAGAAACUGAGUUCAGGUAAAUCAUGACAUAAUCAUGCAUUCAUUAUAGGAUUCCUAGUUGGAGUUAUUUUCAAUCAAGUAUUUUCAUGUUAAUCCUAUUUUUAAUAGGAUUAGAUUUUAUAUCUUGAGAUUACUUUCCUAGUUAAACUCUAUUUUGAUUUAAGUUAAAAUAUUAUAUUGAUACCUAAUUGGUCUCUUUGAUAAAGAUUGUUAUCUUGAAUAACAAUCCUUGCAUAAGUUGACGAAUUGAUUAGUAUUAGUGGGCUGAAUGUUUUUUUACGUUUUUGAUCCUGUGCCCAUUUUUAAAUCACAACAAAUAGUCAUAGUUGAAUAGGUUUAGUGGGUGUUCAUAUUGCAUCAGGUUUAGGAGUCUUAAUUGAAGUGGGUUUGGCAUUUGUGGGAUGCUAUUUGACUAGGCAUAGGGAACCUUGAAUAAAAGGAGGACGCCUCUCCUUGGUUAUGUGGGCUUUUGAUAUUUUGUGUGGAGCAUAUAGAAUUCUAAGGAAAAAGCUGCUGUGCAUUUAUUUGAGAUAAAACAUCAAGUGUUAAACGUUUUACUUGGUGAUUUAUCAAACACUUUAAUCAUUCAUAUCGCAUUCAUAUGCAUAUCGGUGACUGAGAAAGUAGGGGACACCAAGAUCGUUGUGGCGGUCUUUCUCCGGUGAGCUUGAAUCGAUCGUGACCAGUAUCGAAUUCAACAUAAGGAGAGUUGGAAGAACUCCGGCGAGCUUGAAGCAAUCGUGACUAGUAUUGCGUUCAACAUAAAGAGUGUCGAAGAUCAUCCCGUGACAGAAGUUGAGUUACGAAGAAGUCGGUAAACAUUAUCUAGAAUGAGUCUAGGAUAAGUGUGUGAGUACUUCUUGUAAUCAUCGUUCUAUAGUGGAUUUGAGUUGGACUGAGGAGUCCCGUGGAUUUUCCCCAGAGGUAGGGUUUUACCACGUAAAAUAAUUAUCUGCGUGUUCUUUUAUUUUAAGCUUUGCACAUCUCAGGAUUGAUAACUAAUAUCAAUCCUGCUCCAAAGGUUGAUCAUUAUUUAUUGCAAAAAUUCGAAUUAACUUGUUUAACAUUCUCCAGGCAUAUAUAGAUAUCCUACAGGUAUUUUCACACCCUCUUUACCAAACCAACAGAUAUAGAGUUCAUAUUCUGCAAAUUUAACAUCUAGGAAUCUUGAGUAUCCUUGUUAAUCCCAAGUGUGUGUUUGGGGUUUGUCUUUGAUUGUGCAAAACAUUGACAAACAUACAAUUAUAGGCUAGACUUCAUUGUAUCCGUAAGACUUAUUUGCAUAUCCCCUUUGCACACAAACAAUGAGAAAAAAUAAAAUCUGAAAAAUAGCUUAAAUCUUACGUGCCCUUGAAACAAUCUUUCGUACUCUCAUUAUCAUUCCCCAUAAACAUUUCCAUUAAACCACGACCCACAGACCUUGUAUCAACAAAAUUUAGCCAAUCUGUCAUAUUUGAAAAUAACUUCACUGACAUGACUAUGAGAGUGAUGCAUGUCGACACCAUAACUAUAAAUCAAAUAUUAAAAUCCCCACCCACAAGGUAGGUUCUUCUGUACCUGAAAUAUUAAUAAUAUAUGCAAAUUCUUGGAAGUGGUCUUAAUGUCAAUGGGAAAUGCUAGAGAGUUUACUUGCAAGAGGUAUGAACACAUGAUAAAGAACGCAAAAUCCUUGCCAGUUGUGUUUCCUAUUUGUGCCACAUCAUCACUCAUUAUAGGCCAGUCAAAUUAGGUAGACUUCAAAGUCAAAAUACCCUCUACACGCUAUUAAAAGUCAAGUUAUUACCCCCCAAGCCCCGUUAAUCUCGAGAGAUUUUAGGUUCCUAACUCUAUUGAUCAUACAGUAACCGAGCUCUGUUGGCAAUGCGUAUUGCAGACCUGCAUAACAAGAACAUGUCUGAGAGGGAGGGAGAGAAGCAUUUGAGCAUUUGAGCUAGUCGGCAUUCUUUUAUACUUAUAGCACUAAUGUCAAAAGGAGGAAGAUGAAUGAUGUAGCCCGUAGGUUUAGAGUAAACAGCCCGUAGGUUUAGAGUAAACAGUCCGUAAGUUUAGAGUACACGCUUUGAGCAAUAGAACAGAGAAGAAAUAAGGGAUCGAGGAGAAGAAUUAGAGAUCGAAGAGACGAAGGGAAAGGGAAGGAAUCAGAGAGUUUAAAGCAAGGAGAUUUAUCAUUAAUCAAGUCUGCCUUAAAAGAUUACAAACAACUCUAUUUAUAGAGGCAAAAUCCUUUUUAGUCUAGGAAAAGGAAAAGUAAACUUUAAGAAAUAGGAAAGCAAAUUAACUAAUAAGAGAUCCUUUAACAAGAAGGAAUCCUUAAGAAUCAGGAAAACUAAUAAGAGGAAAACUAAUCCAACUAGAAGUAGGAAAACUAAUAAUAUGCAUUCUGCAUCAUUCUCCCCCAUCGAAAAAGAACUCGACACCGACGAGUAAACCAAGAUUAUGGAUGACGACGUCGUUUGUAAGUACGGAUGAUGGGAGGACGGGAUGCAGCCAAAUCCAGAUCAUGAAGAGCAUCUCGAUAACUUUGCAGAAGAGUAGAAUCCAACUGGCAAAAUUCAGCUUCUGUAAUCCAAGUAUCCUCAGUAGCAGGCCUUCCAACCCAACGAACCAGAUAACGGGUAGAACCUCCAGUAGACGAGGCCACAACUUCAUGAUCCAAGACGUCCUCAAUCUGAUCUGUAGGGACAGAACUAGUAAAAGGAAUACGCGGCACCAUAGGAGGAGUGGAACCCUGAGCAACAUCUAUAGAAAUAAGUGGAGAAAAGGUGCCCCGAUAAGGAGAUAAAUCAGAAACAUUGAAAAUGGGACUUAUAUGCAUAUCUGCAGGCAACUCAAUCAAAUAAGCAUUGGACCCAAGCUUCUUAAUGAUACGAUAAGGACCCAUCGAACGAGCAUGAAGCUUCUUGAAAGAGUGCUUAGGAAAACGUUCAGGACAAACCCGCACCAUAACAAAAUCCCCUUCUCGAAACUCCUGUUGACGACGAUGAGCAUUGGCUGCCAGUUUAUAAGUGUCUGUGUGCAUGGAUAUCUGCCUACGGACGUCAUCAUGCAAUUGCCUAAUAUGUUCAGCAAACGACGUAGCAGAAUCUGAGGUGCGGGCAGCCACAGGAAGAGCAACUAAAUCAACAGGUGAUCGGGGAGAAAAUCCAUGAACCACCUCAAAAGGACUCUUACCGGUACUUCGAUUAACUGAGUUGUUAUAAGCAAACUCAGCCACAGGCAACAAGAGAUCCCAAUUGCCAGGUUUAUCCCCAACUAAACAGCGGAGUAAAUCACCAAGGCUGCGAUUAACCACUUCAGUUUGACCAUCUGUUUGGGGAUGGAAAGCAGAAGAAAACUUCAAAGUAGUACCGAAAAGCUUCCACAAAGUCUUCCAAAAAUAACUAACAAAUUUGACGUCACGAUCAGAAACAAUGGAGACAGGGAGGCCAUGCAAACGGACUACUUCCUUAAAAAAUAACUUGGCCACAUAAGAAGCAUCAGUAUUUUUUGCACAAGGCAGAAAAUGUGCCAUUUUAGAAAAACGAUCAACUAUGACAAAGAUAGAGUCAUAGCCGCGACUAGUCUUAGGUAAACCAAGCACGAAAUCCAUACUAAGAUCCUUCCAUGGUGUAUGAGGUAUUGGUAGAGGGGUAUAUAAACCUGUGUUACGCUUGCGAGCUUUAGCUAGCUGGCAUGUGCGACAUUGGGAGAUGAGAUGAGCAACAUCACGUUUUAAUGACGGCCAAUAGAAACGAUCUUCUACCAAGGCAAUAGUCUUAUCUUUGCCAAAAUGUCCUGCGAGGCCGCCACCAUGUAAUUCCCAAACAAGGAAUUCACGGAGAGAAGUACGGGGAAUACAUAAUUGUGUUCCUCGAAAUAAGAACCCAUCCCUCGUAAUAAAGUCUACAUACUCGCGGCGGUUACCAUUGGAAACUUCAUGAAAAAUAAUUCCAAAAUCUGGACAAGAUGAAUACUCAGUCUUAAUGCGAUCAAACCCGGUUACUUGAACUGUCAUUGUGUGCAAAAUAGUAGCCACGCGACUAAGGGCAUCAGCUACCUUAUUGUCAAUGCCUGGACGGUGUCGUAAAACAAAUGUAAAGAUCUGGAGAUAUUCGGACCACUUAACAUGUCGACUGCUAAUGGUUCGUUGAGAGUGGAGAUAUUUCAAAGCUUGAUGAUCUGAAUACAACACAAAUUCGUUUGGCAGUAGGUAAUAUUGCCAAUACCGAAGUGCUUGUACCACAGCAUAAAACUCCUUAUCAUAAGUAGAAUAACGUUGCUUUGCUUCAUUAAGUUUCUCACUAAAGUAUGCUACGGGAUGUCCUUCUUGGCUAAGCACACCACCAAUCCCAACUCCGGAAGCGUCACAUGCGACUUCAAAGACUUUAGAAGAACAGGCGCUUGAGUCAUCUUCUGUUUCAAAAUUGUAAAGGCCUUGGCAGCUGCAUGGGUCCAAAGAAAAGCUCCUUGUUUCAUACAAUCAGUUAUUGGUGCCAUAAUAGUACUGAACCCUGGAAUAAAUCGUCGAUAAAAAGAGGUGAGACCAUGAAAGCUGCGUGCCUCUGUCAAAGUCGUGGGUGUUGGCCAAUCAAUAAUAGCCUCUACCUUGGCAGGAUCUGUGCUAACCCCAGCUGCAGAAAUAUUGAACCCCAAGAAUAAAACUUCAGGUUGAAGAAACGAACAUUUUUUUAAGUUGGCAUAUAGUUUUUCCUUCCGUAAAGUAGAGAAUAUCGUCCUAAGAUGUUGGAGAUGUUCCUCCCGAGAGCGGCUGUAGAUCAGUAUGUCAUCAAAAUAGACUACCAGGAAUUUACCAAUAUAAGGUCGUAACACAUGAGUCAUCACCCGCAUGAAUGUGCUGGGUGCAUUGGACAUGCCAAAGGGCAUCACAAGCCACUCAUAUAAUCCAUCAGGGGUUUUAAACGCGGUUUUCCACUCAUCUCCUUCACGAAUACGAAUUUAAUGAUAGCCACUGCGAAGAUCUAUCUUUGAAAACCAUUGGGAACCCGCCAAAUCAUCCAACAUAUCCUCAAGUCGCGGUAUGGGGAAACGAUACUUAACUGUAAUUUUAUUUACGGCGCGACUAUCUACACACAUUCGCCAGGAGCCAUCCUUUUUGGGGGUAAGGAGGACUGGAACAGCACAAGGACUUAAGCUAUGACGAAUAAAGCCCUUAGCCAGCAAUCCCUGAAUUUGUCGAUUCAAUUCCACUCGCUCAGGUGGAUUCAUACGAUAAUGGGGGAGAUUAGGAAUUUGCGAACCAGGAACAAGGUCAAUUGCAUGCUGAAUCUCUCUUGCUGGAGGUAGGUCGUCGGGUAAGUCAUCAGGUAUGACAUCAGAGAAUUCAGUGAGGAGCUGUUGUAUAGGGUCGGCAAGUGGAGUGGUGUAGUCAGAUGCCAGUUUAAGCAAGAGGGCAAAGACCACACCAGUUUCUUGCAGUUCAUAUGCAAAGUCUACCGGUGAUAAAAGACUCAAUCGAUGCUCCAAAGCCUUCUCUUUAAUUGACAGGUUUGUUUGAACAUCCUUAGUUGGUUUGAUGGCCGGAUUGGAAGGCUUUAACGUUAUGUUCUUUCCUUCAUGUUGAAAAGUAUAGGUGUUCUCCUGGCCGCAACUUUUCACAUGACGAUCAUAAAGCCAAGGCCGGCCUAGGAGCACAUGUGCGACACUCAUAGGUAAGAUAUCACAAUAAAGUUGCUCGUGACAGGGACCCAAUUGAAGAGGAACAAGACAUCUUUGGGUAACAGGUAAUCUGGUUUUAUCAACCCAACCAACAUGAAAAGGAUGAGGGUGUGGCUCGGCCUGAAGGUGAAGGCGAUCAACAGCAGUUUUAGAGAUAACAUUCAGCGUACUUCCCCCAUCAAUAACUAGUUGGCAUCUAUUGGUACCGCAAGGGACAUAGGUUUGAAAGAUACUUGUACGCUUCCAUGAAUCAGGAGGUGGAGAUGUAGGUGUUGAAUAAAUACAACGCAUAACACUCAGUUGGUGAAACGCUUCCUCCUCACAGCAAUUAUCAAGUUCUGGAUCAUAAACAGGUUCAAGGGGCUCCACAUACUCGUCCACACAAGAGUCUUCAUUGAGGGAGCCAAGGGUUAAAGUUCUAUGGGGACAACGGGAGGCGAUGUGGCCCUUAGCGUGGCAACGAUAGCAUUCGAUAUGAGAAGCCAUGGAUGAGGCUGGUCCUUUGUCUGUUGCAGGUAUUGUAGGAGCAAGUGGACCGGCAACGCCAUAUUUAGAGCUAGGAGCACUACGGUUUGGAGUAAGAGUGGAAGAGUGCCUAGAAUGCCCUGUGUAUCGACGUUGUGGACGCAAAAAAGUUUCAGCUUCCAAUGCGUGGCAAUAUGCAUCUUCCAAAGUAUGCGGACGGAACCUCCGAACUUCACGUUUGACAUCGUCACGAAGACCAUGGAUAAAGCGGGACAUGGUGAUGUCGGGUUCUUCACGAAUCCCUGCACGUAUCUUGUGUUCGAUAAAACGAGCAUGGAAAUCAGUAACGGGUAAACUUCCUUGUGAAAGGGUCCAUAAUUGGUCAUACAAUUGAUGGCGAUAAAAGGUGGGAAGAUAUUGUUCGCGAAGCUUUAAUUUCAUCUCGUCCCAGAGAGUCACAGGUGGCUGUCCAAAUUGGUAUAGUUGCUCUUCCACGGAAUUCCAAUAUUGGCGAGCGGCUCCUUGUAGCGUCAUCUUACCAAUGCGAAGCUUAUGAGCAUCCGUCAAAUCAUACCAGGCGAAAUAAUCUUCCAUGGCUUGAACCCAAUCAAGAAACAUCGUGGGAUCCCCACGACCAUCAAAAGUAGGAGCGGUAGGCUUGAUGUGGUGGAUGACAUCGUUGUCAAAAUGGCGAGGGGGAUGAGUGCCGUGAUCAUGUGGGACUGUCGAAGGGCCCGUUGUAUGUUGGGUAUAAUGGGCCGGUGCCAAAGACCCAAAAGAAAAGGGGGGGCUCCAAUUGAGCCUUGGGAUCAUCAAGCGAGAGCCCAGUGGAGCUAGGAGGCAUGCCGUAUGGCACGGCCUUGAGUUUGUGAUCCACCGGUGGAUUGGGCAGAAGGCCACUCUUUGGUGGUGGCGUAGAGGAACUCGAGAGCAAGGCGGAGGUAGAAGAAGGUUCAGCAUGUCCAGCCCGAAAAUGAUUGAUAAGCAACUGAACGGAGUCUUGGAGUUUGGUGAUGGCCAGGUCCGUCUUCGCACGAUGUGUGGAAGCCUGUACCAACUCGUCUUUGAGGUCAAUGCUGAGGUUGGAAAGUUGGGUCUCCAUGCCAGCGAUAUCGUCAGAAACUUUGUCUUGGAACGCAUGAAAUUGUUCGGAAAGGCUGGCCACGGUUUGGGGCGCCAUGGGAGAGAGCAAACGGAAACGAAAGCGAGGGCAGGCUCUGAUUACCAAUUGAUGUAGAACAGCCCGUAGGUUUAGAGUAAACAGUCCGUAAGUUUAGAGUACACGCUUUGAGCAAUAGAACAGAGAAGAAAUAAGGGAUCGAGGAGAAGAAUUAGAGAUCGAAGAGACGAAGGGAAAGGGAAGGAAUCAGAGAGUUUAAAGCAAGGAGAUUUAUCAUUAAUCAAGUCUGCCUUAAAAGAUUACAAACAACUCUAUUUAUAGAGGCAAAAUCCUUUUUAGUCUAGGAAAAGGAAAAGUAAACUUUAAGAAAUAGGAAAGCAAAUUAACUAAUAAGAGAUCCUUUAACAAGAAGGAAUCCUUAAGAAUCAGGAAAACUAAUAAUAGGAAAACUAAUAAGAGGAAAACUAAUCCAACUAGAAGUAGGAAAACUAAUAAUAUGCAUUCUGCAUCAAUGAACUUUGUGGCUCCACUGGUGCCAACAAAAGAAGGCGCAUUGCUGCAACAAACUGCAUUCAAGGUCUGUAGAUAGAUAGAUAGACUGAGAGAAGCAUGGAGAAGCCGGAAGUUGUACAUAGACCGCUCCCCAGUAAAGAUGAAGACAAGGCAAAGAAAAGCAGAAUUGACCAACUUAUAGAUUAGUGAACAAGGAAAUAGCAUAAAACCGAUGAGUACGAAGUGCAAAUCCUUUGUUUAUUAUGUAUUUUGUGUUUAUAUUGGUCAUGUGUCAUUUGCUGAUGGAUGUUGCAUUUUCAAGUACCUUGACAAUGUAAACAAUUUCACAGUACCCAUUUUUUGAUUUAUUCUGACGAAAAAAGCACACACACAUAUAUAAAUAUAUGUAUGUAUAUAGCAAGCUAAGAAUAAGAUGAGUAAAUUACAAAAUGGAGAAGCAUUAGAUUGAGACACUGUUGGGAAUCCCCUUGCCAGUAAGUCCAGCCUCACUAGAAGGAUGAAGCAAAGUGUAUGGCAUCUUGGCCGGUCCAACCCGGUUCUUCAAUUUCUCAUCCUUGUUCAUUCUUUUCAUGUUUUCCUCAAUUUCUUCCAGCUUCUUUCUAAACUUCUUAGAGGCUUGCAAUAUGUCAUUGUCUGCUGUCCAUUCUGGCGCAUCUCUCUGCCCCAAAUAAAGCUCAUCAGCUGAGUGUCUUGACAAGAUUUCUAUGGAGGCCAUGCCAAGAAGGGUCUGCAGCUGAGGUGUAAUUGUUUUCAAAAAUGCCUUUUCAGGGUUUGUCUUGAGCUCCUCAUACUCAGGAGUGCCUUCUUCGGGCAUGAACUGCAGGCUUAUGCUUGGCCGGUUUGGGGGGUAUCCACCAAAAGGGUAUUGCCCAAAAUUGAUUGCUGCAUGAUGGGCUGAAGCAAUCCAUAUGAUGAUGGUGCAUGAUUCUAUCAGCUCUUCACAAGUCUGCAUUUUAGGCCACCAUGGCUCAUCUUUUUUGUCACCAUGACCUUCCUCUCUGAGUUCCUUCCACCAGGACUGAAGUUCUGAGUCCUUUUGAACCAUUUCAUCAGUUUUAUAGUAGAAGGAGCAAUAGUCCUUAACCCAUGUUUUAAUUGCAGACCAGAUCUCAAGCCCAUCAGCAGCAUAUGGAUAGUCCUCUAUCAGUAAGCGUACACCAUGUGAGGAAUUUGGAUCUUCAACUGCCAUUCCUCUGAACAGAGAAAAGAUUAAAUAAAUAAUGGCCAUCAAUCCUAUCAUCUUUGUUAUUUUUGAGUUUAAACAAUAGUGACAACAUUUAUCAAAUCAUUUAGACCAAAUUUUAUUCAUACAUAUGGCAUUGUGUCUUAGCUCUUAUUUCCUCAAAGGGCAUGCUUUUCCAUUUCAAUUGUGUUGAAUCUGUUACCAUAAUUCGGAAAUGAUAAAUGUUACUAUCAGAAGAUUUUACCUUUUGAUCAGAUCUAUGGGGAGCGCUUGUUCAGGAAAAACCCAGCUCUUAUACAUUACAGAAGACCAUUCCAUUGAGAACUUUGCAGGAAAGACUGUUGCCUCUAGUAUUCCUCCAGCAUUAAUGAGAACCUGUCGAGCGACUGCAUUUACAUUCAUAGUGUCACGAAAGUGAGGAUGCAGAAGCUUAUGAAUUGGGUGCAGCACGCUCAACUGCCUAUUUGUGGCUAUCACAAAUGGUUCCAUCACCGCAUGAGUUCUCAACCUGCAACAAAACAAGAACAUUUCAAGAUGCAUUUGGGAGAAAUAAAAAGGUUAUGAAUUUAUUUGCUAGGAUUUCUUUAACAUUGUUAUACCAGUGGCUGAUGAGCUGAUGAUAGCCAGAGUCAUUUACAUUCACAUAAGCUUUAGCAAGUUGCCAAAUGGAACUCUCGACACCCUGGCUAGACGGAGUAUAGACUUUGCUAAUGCAGCCAAAUUGAUCUCCACCAGGAUGUGGCAAGCUUAACUCAAUAGCUAAUGGCUUCAAAGUCCCAUCAUUCUCUAAGAAAAGGAGUGUCCUGCUUGCAUAAGUUUUUGUGGAAGUUGUGUUUAUACGCCUCAGGUACGGCAUCAAUGCAUCAUGGUGGUCUAAUAUGAAUAGCUUCUUGUUCUUGAUUGCCUAUUACAGAAAAUGCUUUUCAGUAAUUAUCUUCAAAUAAGAAUAUAUGAUUGCAAAGCCACCUGAGGACUACUAGCUUCAAACUCAAUUUUGAAAGAAGCAACUCAAUGGUAUUACCUCAUCUAUGCUGAGUCCAUCUAAGUUAUGUCCUAUGUGUUCUUUGGUUAUUUGACUAGUUUGAUCCCCAUAUAUGUUUUGGUCUAGCUUGCUAGCAGGUGGAAAUUCCUGCAGUUUAUUUAGAAGUAAUGACGAUUAGGAUGUAGAAUCAGAGUAAAUAUAAUUCAAAUGUAACUUCUCUUCUGUUCCAUUUUCUUCAAAAACAACUGUAGACAACAGAUAAUGAAAGCUUAGGAUUACUUGGAGACGACGUAUGACGACAGGAUUUAUUCCAGCCAGCAUUUCUCUUGCAAAUUCUUCAUCAGUUUUCCAUGCUGACUUAUCCACUAACACAAUACAAAUCAUUAGAAACCCAGUAAGCAGUAUAUUAAGGAACGGAGAAUGAAAGAUCUUAUAUUUAGGAAAAUAAGUUUUCCAAAAAAAUCAAAAUAUUCAUUAAAGUCAUAUUAUGAGUAGAAAGUGACUGCCUUAAUAUGUACCUUUGAUCACUUGAGGCACUGGGAAUUUCAGGAAUUUUUCACCAUCCGUUCGGAAAAGUUCCUUGAUCGUCUCUGCAGGGAUGUUAUCCCUUACAGAUUUUAGUAUACCCUCAGGCAACUCUAUUCCUCCUUCAUAGAGUUUAAGAACAUCUUCCAAGCUGUCAAAAUGUUUUUGGGGGCCAACAAGUAUAGAUGCUAGCUCAUCAGGUCUAAGGAGCUGAGAUAUGGAUUUCAGGGCAUAAGCAAUCAAGUCUGACAUCUUUAAGUGACCAAACCGUUCAUCUCUCGGAACAUAUAUGAAUAAGCUCAAAAGAAGCAUCAUCGGGGUCUCACUUUCAGGAUCUGUUAUGAUGAAAGAAGAAAAGUCUUAACAAUAAACCUUUCUUCUUGAAUACUUUCACAGCAAUAGAGAUCCAUAUUCCUUGUUUGUCAUUGUUAAAGAUUGAAAAAAAAAAUUACCAAGUUUUGAGUAGUGACUGAGAAAUGAAGUUAAUUGACUGACCUUCCUUAGUUGGUCGUCUUCCUGUUCUUCCCCUCCGAGGAUAAGGGAACUUACUCGAGCCACCGAGAAUUGGACGGGCAUAUUUUGGACCCUUAUGCGGUUUCCCCAAAUCAUUAUAGUAGGCAUAGCCAUAAACCCUGUCCCAUUCCUGAAGUUCUGUUUCAUCAUCAUCAUCUCCUCUCAAGUUUACUAGCUCUUCUUCUCUGAAUUUCUUUAGUGGCCCUGGUGUAUCACUUAAAAGAUAUGUCUGCACAAAUAUAUAGUUUAAUUUGUAAUUGAAAUGACCCUUUACAAUAUUACCAGCACAACAUAGCAGUCUAUCAGCAAAAUCAGUGUGUUUUUCACCUGUACUUCACUCUUUAAGAGAAAGUUACAUUAAUUCUUCAACUGCAUUAGAAGUUAGAACUUUAUGCUUUCAUCCUAUAAAUAUACCUUGUUAGCGAAGAAAACACGGUCUUUUUUGUAGUUUUUAGCAGGAUACACCCAUGAGUUGCAGACAAAGUGGAUUCGACCUUCUCCAGGAACAUCUUCAAGUGUGAGAGUCUUCAAGUAAAACUCACUGUGAUGAUCAUUUCUUAUUAUGAAUGCUCCUGGGACUCCAAUCUCCUCAUCCCAAUCAAAAGUAACCUCAAAUGUACACUCCCCUGCUGUUAAGGGAGUGAUUGUGGUAACCCAAUCUUCCAAAUAUGCUGGCUUUCCAACUUUUCCACGCCCAUUUUCUACCAAAAUGAAAUAAAAUGAAAAAAAGAAAAUGAAAACACAUCAUACUCAAAAACCAAUCAACAAAUGUUCAAUUAUGAGACCUCAAAAUUUGUGGGCUUUUAAAAUAAAAUUAAAAAAAUUCUAAAUUGAGAUGUUCUCCUUUAUCUUUUGGGGUUCUGGUAUUAAGAUAUAAAGCAACAUUCUUUAAUAAAUAAUUACAUACUUAUUCAAAGGAAAACCAUUGAAGCUAAUUAAUGAAGAAGUAAACUAGAAGCCACAUAUCUAUAAUCAUAAAGACAGAAUAGUAUUCAAUACUCACCAGGGUCACCAUUAACAGAACUAAUGAGCUGCAGAGAAACCACUUUGCCCCACAGCUCAUGAACACGAUCAAGAAACGAUGCUUUGAGGUCAUUUAACUCCAAAACAUUCUUCUUCAUCAACACCACUCUCCCUUUGAUCUUCUUGCCUCCGUCUUUGGGGUGUGGAUCAACGGUGAUGUUCUGGGACGGCUUGGCAGAUGAAGCCACAGUCAACGGUUGAGAUCGUGCAACAUCAGUCAUGCGCAAGAAACCAGGGAAGAAUUUCAUAGUCAUAGGCAACAAGCCAUUGGGUGAAGUGGCAUGAUCUGGAUUGUUGAUUGUUGCUGCUGCAACAACUGAGUUCAUCCGAGCUCCACAGGGAGCUUUUGUCCUGAAGCUCAAAGGACUGAGAUACUUGCAAUGAAGCAUCUUUGUCUGCUGCUUCAAGAAAGAACUGAGAAAAUUUAAUAAAAGAAGGUUUUGAGGAUCUCAGUCAGUGUGAAGAAUUAGUGAGAGAAGGUGUGGUAUUUAUGGGAAGUGUGAUGUGAGCUCACUGUAUCAGUCUUUAUGAAAUCCUAGUCAUACUGAUUUUACAGCUUUUGGCCUCAAGUUCUGGUCUUUAAACUUCACCAACUCAAUCUUAUGUUGUUCUCAUCAUGACCCAACAAUAAAUAAAUAAAAAUUCUUUUUAUUUGUUCUAUUGCAUUUGCAGGGGUUGACUUAAAAGACCCAGACUUUUCCUAUUGUUUACAGUUGUAUGUCAAUUUUGGAAUUUGAUGAUGAUGAUGACGAUGGUUCAAGGCAGCUUCAACCCUCUUUUUUUACCAAACCGACAAAUAUAGACAGAUUUAUGCAAGAUUUCAAUUACAUACUUUCUGUAGAUUCUGAAUAAAAAUGGCUUGCUGAAUUUUCUAAUAUUAUCCAUUUAGUUAUUAAAAAAUACACCGCCAAUACAUUAUACAUACAUAAGGGUUUGCUGGCCCCAUCACAAAUGACAGAUUAUGCUCGAUCCACACACCGUAAGUUAUUCUGUGCCAAAAAAUAUUAAUAUAUACAGAUUUUUGGAAGUGGGCAUAAUGUCAAUGGGAAACGCUAGAGAAUUUACAUUCAAGAGGUUGCAAAAGUCUUGCCAAAGCCAAUUGUGUUUCCCAUGUGCCACAUCAUCAUUCAUGACAGGUCAAUCAGUAAAGUAGGUAGACUUCAAAGUAAUUUACUAGGAAAGUGCUUGGAAUGACUUUUCUUGAACAAAUUGCUGAUUAAAUUUUAAUAUUGUGAUAAGAUGAAGCCAUAUUGAGCUUUCACAUUAGAGUUUAUAGUCAAGCCAUAUGGUAGAAGAUGACUGAACUUUUUCUUUUCUUGGAAUUGUUAAGGUUUCACCUACCUAAGUAGUAAUCUUUUAUUCAAAAUAUCAUAUAAAAUGUUGUUACUAAUGAAUUUUUUUAACGGUAAUUUAACAUAAUGUACAACAUUUGCUAACGGAGUAAAACACAGGAACUAAAUUGGCCAAAUUAAAAACACAUGAAUUAAAUUUGCCAAAUAUACAAAAUACAGAGACCAUUUUAACAUUCAAGCUUUAAUUUUAUGGAAGUAGUUGACUGUUUAAAUUUUAUAUUAUUUUUGCUUUUACUUGGUGAUGAUUUUCAUUUAAUUUUUGAACAGAAGAGACACAGGCAACUUAUUCUAUGGAUUUGCAGGCAUGCUGAGAUUGAGAUUAGGCGCUUAUGCAUAUUGUCAUGGAUGAUUUCAAAGACGCUUUUGCUGCUCCCUCUCAAAUAUGCUUAUUAAAAGUAAGGCUUAAAAUUCUGAUUUUCAUACUUUCCAAUAUCUUGGAUGAAAUGUUGAUAUUGCAUAUGCCUAGGCUGUUGCUGCAGAAUUUGAAAGGCAUGCAAUGAAGCUAAUGAACCAAUGAAUACAGUGUUAUUUAUAUAAAGAUAUUGUAGCCAAGCAAUUUACAAGGCCUUAUUGCAACUGUAAUAUUCUAGCUUAUUACACACAAAGAAUGCAUUAUACUACUUAAUUAUAUAUAGUAAUUGCAACUUGCAUUAUACUAAUUAGCUUUAGUCUAUAUACUAGCUUGAGAGGCUUAGAUUGAGACACUGUUGGGAAUUCCCCUGCCAGUUAGUCCUCCUUCGCUAGUAGGAAACAGCAAAGUGUAUGGCAUCUUCACCGGUCCAACUCGGUUCUUCAGUUUCUCAUCAUUGUUCAUACGUGUAAUUCUGUCCUCAAUUUCAGCCAGUUUCCUUCCAAAUUUAUCAAAGGCUUUCAAUGGUUCUGUGUCUGCUGUCCACUCAGGAGUGUCUCUCUGCCCCAAAUACACUUCAUCAGUAGAAUGCCUCGACAGAAUUUCAAUGAGGGCAAUGCCAAGCACUGUCUGCAGCUGAGCAGUAAUUGUUUUCAAGAAAACUGUAUCAGGGCUGGAUUCGAGCUCUUUGUACUCAGGAGUCCCCUUCUCAGGCAUGAAUUUUCGGCUUAUAGUUGGGCGGUUGGGGAGGUAUCCUGCAUAAGGGUACUGUCCAAAGUUGACGGCUGCAUGGAGAGCAGAAGCAGUCCAUAUGAUGAUAGUGCAUGUUUCUACUAGGUCUUCGCGAGUCUGCAUUUUAGGCCACCAGGGCUCAUCUUUUUUGUCACCAUGGCCUUCCUCUACAAGCUCCUUCCACCAGGAUUGGAGUUCAAUGUCUUUUUGAAUUAUGUCAUCAGUCUUGUAGUAGAAAGAGCAAUAGUCUUCAACCCAAGUUUUAAUUGCAAACCAGAUUUCAAUCCCAUCAACAGCAUAUGGAUAGUCAUCGAUCAGUAGGCGAAGACCAUGUGGAGAAUUUGCAUCCUUGACUGCAACUCCUCUGUAUUGAUCAAUGGCAAAGCAAUGUAAUUAGAAUAAGGAAUGGAUAUUUAUUACUUAUCUUGUGCUCAUUUGAGUUACUUGUGCAGAGGCAAUUAACUCACAAAGUGUAGAUUUUUGUUUACCUCUUGAUGAGAUCUGCAGGGAGAGCUUGCUCGGUGAAAACCCAAUCCUUAUAAACCACUGAUGACAUCUCCAUGGCAUACCUAGCAGGAAAAACUGUUGUCUCCAGAAUGCCGCCAGCAUUAAUCAGGAUUUGCCUGGCAAAUGCAUUUAUGUUCAUGGUGUCACGGAAGUGAGGAUGCAGAAGUUUGUAAAUUGGGUGAACCACGCUUAGCUGCCUGUUUGUAGCUAUUACAACUGGCUCACACACUGCGUGGGUGUUCAACCUGUGGCCAAAAGAUAAAAGGAUUAUCAGAAACCCAAUUCAAAGUAUAUGAUGAAUUCAUUUUCUAAGUCUUUUUCUUUGAAAGAUUAGUACCAGUGACUGAUAAGUUGAUGAUAUCCAGAGUCAUUUACAGCCACGUAAGCUUUAGCCAGUUGCCAUAUGGAGCCUUCUACACCCUCUUCAGCUGGUGUAUAUACUUUACUAAUGCGACCAAAUUGAUCUCCAUCAGGAUGAGGCAAGCUUAAUUCAAUCACCAAUGGCUUCAAAGUUCCAUCACUUUUCAAGAAAAGAACUGUUCUGCUAGCAUAGAUCUUGUUGGAAGUUGAGUUUAUCCGCCUCAGGUACGGCAUCAAUGCAUCAUGAUGAUCCAAUAUGAAUAACUUGUUCUGCUUGAGUGCCUAUCCAACCAAAUUCAUUUUCAUCAUUAUGAAAUGAUAUAAACUCAAACAUAAGCUAAUACAAUGUAAAGGAAGCAAAUCCAAGAUAUAACCUCAUGCACUGUUAGUCCAUCCAAGUUGUUCCCUAUAUCCUGUUCUGUUAUUCUACUGGUUUGAUCUCCAUAAACUUUUGGGUCUAGUUUGCUUGCUGGUGGAAAUUCCUGCAGUACAGUUAGAAGCAAAUGUGAUUAAAUAUGAACAAAAUGGACCCUCGAAGGUUUUGUUUGUUUUUCAUCCAUUAUCAUUGGAAAACAUCACACACAAAAUGUUGUGAAGAUUAUUACUUGCAGAAGACUAAUGUUGACAGGGUUCACUCCAGCCAGCAUUUCUCUGGCAAAUUCUUCAUCAGUCCUCCAUGCAGACUUAUCCUCUGCUCCAAAUCAUGAAAACAUCAGAAUUAGAUAAAAGGAAAUAGUACAUGAUAUCAUAGGCUAUUGCUUAAAGCUUCUAAAUUCAGAAUUUCUCAUUGGUGGAACCAUAUACCUUCGAUCACUUGAGGCAUGGGGAAUCUGAGCAAUUGUGCACCGUCAGUUCGGAAAAUUUCCUUGAGCAUCUCUGCAGGGAUAUUGUCUCCGAUAUCCUUCAAUAAACCUUCAGGCAAUGGAAUGCCUCCUUCAUAGAGUUUAAGCACAUCUUCCAAGCUGUCAAACUCAUUAGGAGUCUUAUCAAACAGGGCUUCUAGCUCUGGCCUAAUGAAUUGAACUAUGGAUUUCAGUGCAUAAGCCAGAAAGUCUGACAACUUCAAGUGUCCAAAUCGUUCAUCUCUUGGCACAUAAAUGUUUAAGCUCAUAAGAAGUGGAAUCCUACUCUCGCUGUUAGAAUCUGUUAGAAUAAGAUCAGAAAAAUCUUAGUGAUAAUUACAACAUCAGUUAAUUAAAAUCCAAAUUAGUAUAUCAACUUCUACAGUAAAACAAUACAAAAUAUGAUCCCUCUUGUGACUGCUAAUUAAUGAUUUGAGGAACAAAAAAUGACACAAAGAUAUUUAAAUGGCUAACCUGUCUUCGUUGGUGGUCUGCCGGUUCUUCCCCUGCGAGGGUAAGGGUACUCGCUAGACCCCCCCAGAGUUGGUCGGGCGUAUUUGGGACCCUUAUCAGGGUUCCCUAGAUCAUUGUAGUAAGCAUAGUCAUAGACCCUGUCCCAUUCCUGGAGCUCUCCCUUUCCAUCUCCUCUCAAGUGUACAAGUUCUUCUUCUCUGUAUUUUCGCAGUGGCAACGGUGUUUCACUUGGGAGAAAUGUCUGCACAAACAUAUACAAGGCUUGAAUGUUAGUCUUUAACUUAAGAUACAAGCCACAAAUAUAUCCUCAUAAUAUACUAGGCUUGCACUUAGAAUUUAAAACUUCCAUCAGCUACAACAGAAACUACAGCAGAUUGUAAUGGAUUGUGUGAAUCAUUCGUUACCUUGUUAACGAAGAAAACACGGUCCUUCGUGUAUUUUUCUGCAGGGUACACCCAUGAGUUGCAAACAAAGUGGACCCGGCCCUCACGAGGAACAUCUUCAAGGGUAAUAGUCUUAAGGAAGAACUCACUGUGAUGAUUGUUUUUUAUCAAGAUGGCUCCUGGAACUCCUAUUUCCUCUUCCCAGUCAAAGGUAACCUUGUAUGCAGAAUCUCCAACUGUUAAUGGAGUGAUUGUGGUGAUCCAGUCUUCCAGAUAUGCUGGCUCUCCAAGUUUCCCCUUAAACCCGUUUUCUACAAAAACACAUUUCUCCAAGUUCAGAAUAUAAUGCCAUAUCUAGUACCCCAUUUACUAAUCAAUUAAUAUUUCCAAUGGAAUAAAGUUCAUCCGAAAUUUUGUUCUAAACACCUCAAAUCAGGUCUUAGUUGGAGCCAUUUUAUGCAAGUUGUUGUAAUUUUCAAUGCGUGUUCAAAAUUUUAUUAGGAACAGAACCUGCGGCUGUUUCUUCAGAAUAUUCGAAGGAAAACAAAAAAUAAUUGGAUCUGAGUAAAAAACCAUAAUCAGAAAAAGGCUUAAAGCUAUGCCAAAAGCCAACAGCCAACUGCAUGGAGCUUCAUUUUCAUGUUAACUGGUAGCUAGACUGGUAGUUGGCGUUCACAGGUAAGAAAAAGAUUAGCUUUCCUGUCUAUUCACUUCCUGACAUGACCACUAUGAAAAAAAUAACAAAUGGAAUGGCUGAUGAUGGCCAUGAUUUAAAAAUCAUUUUCAUAUCUUUCAAAACUAAACUGGUUUUUUAAUCAAAUUUUUUGUUACCAUAAACGAGGAUGACAUUAGAGACCCCCCAAAUAAUAUAGAUUUCUCAUGUAGCACACCAAAUAGUACAAUAAAUAUUGAUGCUGUUAGAUUGACUAUAAAGCCCUUGCCAUUAAAAUAGUAAUGUCUCUACUGUACUUUUAGCCACCAAAUCACUUGCAUACAGACAGGGCAAAAACAAUGUUGGGGCACCUUCAAUCACAAUGAGAGUGUUGGAAGGGGUAAGCUUAAGACCACUACAUUCCAAAUGCCUCAUGACUGGACCCAAAAAAUGGAUUAAUUGACCCGGGUGCCCUUUGAAUUGUCAAAAAGCUGUUUCCAUUGCCUGCCUAUAUCAGAAUUGCAUUCAAAAUCUGAUUUAUUGGACCUAAAUGCCAGAUAUAGCCAGGUUUUGAUGAAGACCAAAGAGAUUAAUGACAUAAUCUGUAACCCAACUAAUCCACCGAGGAAAAAGAUUGAGUUAUUGGUUCAUCUUCUUAAUCUUGUCAUAAUUGCUUCAAAGAAAAAGAAUUACAAGGAAAUGAAACAAGAGCAAAACUCAAAUUGGUUUCAUGUCAUGCAUAUUCAAUCAAUGAAGCCAUAAAAACUAUACAUUUUUAAUGAAAAUUAAAGAAAGAGAAAAAAAAACUCACCAGAGUCUCCAUGAUCAGCACUGAUGAGCUGCAGAGAAACCCCUUGGCCUAGCAGUUCAUGCACACGAUCAAGAACAGAAGCAUUGAAGUCAUUGAAAUCCAACACAUUCUUCUUCAUCAAAACCACAGUCCCUUUGAUCUUCCUACUGUUUUUCCCAUUCUGCUCCUGGCCUGUGAUUUUGUCAAAGAGGUUGUGCAACAUUUUGUUCGGCUUUCCAAGAAGUAAGCAAAGAAUCUCUUGAUCUUUUUUUCGAGAAAAAAGUAGCUGUUGUUGGUGAAAUGAGUUGAAAGUUUGUAUGGAUGAGUGCGACAGGGAAUUGUGGUGGUAUUUAUAGGGAGAAAGUGAGCAAUAUUGCAACUCCUUUCUGAGAAGCUUCAGAAUAAUAGUCAGUUCAUGUGUUCAAUUUCAUUUCAUAUAUGGGCACGUUUAAUUGUCUUACUAUUUCUUUAAAAGAAAUAUACGAUUGGUUACAAGUCAGCAGUCUCUUCUCUGGACAAAGUCUUCCACGACUUUUAUCUAAGGAAAUUAUUUGUAGGGCUGUAUAUUUCUUGGGAUGGCUUGGUGACGGUGACCAAGGGGAGCAAAAUGCAAAUUAACCCAUACUCAUCCCUUUAAGAUUAACCCUUUGUUUAUAGAAAUUCUAUAUGCAUCACGUCUGUUCUUUGUUAAAAUACGGAUUGCGUAUUAAGAUAUAUAAUCGACGGUGUAGCUAUAGUAUGUUGAUACGUUUUAUUAUUCACAUAUUCUCGAUAGAUAUAUGAAUAUUUUAAUAAAGAAGGUACGUCAUGUUCGUACGAAGAACUGUCCCUAUAAAAUACAUUGAUGAAAUAAUUAGAGGAUUAAAAAUUAAAAGAUAUUGUACGCAUGAAUAGACUAUACGCCAAUUUAAUGCGAGAGGUACAAUUAAUUUUUUUUUCAUUGCAUCCUUGACAAUUCCUGGGCUGGGAAAUGAUUUGCUUAUAGUGUGCCUUUUUUUUCUUUUUCUUUUUUGUUUUUAACCGGAAAAGACAAUGCGGCCAAUUUGGAACCGCAGUUUUGGGUUUGGCUUUAUCUCAGAAGCAAGGAAAAUUCUGUGGUGCAAAGCCAAAAGGGCCAUCGGUUCGGACCUGAUUUAAGCUGCCACGUUGGACUUGUUCUUUGUAAUAAUAUUCUUCUCCCAGCAGCAAGUUGGCUUUUAAAUAUUAUUAUGAAUAGAUAUAUUCCCUCGCUUUUCACAUGGGGUCUUUUUCCAUUUGGGAAUAAUUUGUUUAUUCUCAUGUUCAAGAUGAAAUUCCAAAAGAUUUUGUUUGUGGGUGUAGUGGGAUUAGUUUAAUCACAACACAAAACAGACAUGAAAACAUCCCUUGCACGUGAUCUGUGUAUAGCUCAAUUACAUUAAUUAUUAGUCUAUCUUAAUCUAUCUUAAUCCCAGUUAUCAAACUUUCCUUAUUGUGUAAAGCAUGCAAGAUUGAACUUUGACGAAAAUGGUUUAGGGGUCCUUCAAUCUGAGGGAUUGAACUUAAUUAAGAAAAAAAACCACUUCACAUGCAAGAAAAAUUCUCUACAGAAACCAAAGUCACAGAGAAAGAACAGCUAGCAGUUUGGUGCUGCACCCAAAAUUAGAAGACGUGUGCAUUAACAUUUCUCGUGAACAAAUUGAACCACUUCAUACCUAACUAUAGUACCAUCCAUUAAUUGAGCAUACAAUGAAUUAGAUUUUAAAUUUACAGUUGCACCAUCAUAAUCAAGUAGCUUGUCCCACAAUGUUUUGAAGAACCUAAAGUUGGAUAACCCCGAUCAGAUUGUUAGGUGGAUAAAUAUUAAUACUAAUUAUUAUUACGAUCGAGAAUGUGAGAUAACUUAGAUUAGAGUUGUAAUUAACCAACAAAAUUUAAUCAAAUUCUACAAUUGUGACCAAGUCUAUAGUCCAUGCUAGUCACCAAUUUGGUUUAGAUCUGAACAAACCCUUGGAUAAGUACUAUACUGGUCUACAGAGAUAUUAGGGGUCUUCAAUUUGAAAUGGGCUACGUUUAAUUUUUAAUUUUUAAUUUCCCAAUUUGUACAAGGAUAAUUUUUUAUUUUUUUUACACAACGGCCAUAGUGUUUUAUUAAUGAGGAAAAUGAGUAACAAGUAUAUAAAAAAAAAAACCAGAAUAUGUUCUAGAGGAUUAGGCGAGUACUCUACACCAAACGAAGCGUAGUGGUCAUCGGUCUACCGAAGUAUCCUACCUUCUCAACUACAAACGAAAAAAGGAACCUUGUCUCCAGGGCCGAUCCUGAGAUUUUGAGAGCACUGUGCAAAACUUAAAUAGGAGCCCUCACAUCAUUUAAUAUGAAAAUAUUUAUGAUAAAAAAAAAAAUUGCCAUGACUUAAUACCAUAAGAUAAUUUUUUUAAUAACUAAAAUUCAUCAUGGAUUAGCAUGCAAUGGCACUCAUAAAUCAAAUUCAAACAAAAUUUAAUGUUUCAAUUUGAGAAAAAAGAAGAGAAAGAAGAAGACAAUAACUUUUUUUGUUUUGUUUUGAGUGGGUUAAAACAUACAUUACAAAUUUUUUUUAGUUGAUUGGAGAAAGCUUGUAUAUAUUGCCUUCAUCUUCUUUGGCAUGUUUCCUUAUUUUUUUUUUAUUAACAUGUUUUUCGAUUUUUUUUUUUUGUUGUUGUUGUUAACAAAAAGAGAAGAAAUGUAAAUACAACUAUUUUGAAUGACACAAUACUAAUUCAAACCAGACUUGCUUAUUAAAAUAAAGGCGUUGAUUUCCAACUCAACCAAAUAGUAGCUUGUGUUAUUGUCAUGCACGCUCAAGUAUAUAUAUAAUACUUAUAAUAUAAAUAUAUAUAAAAUAUACACAUAAAAUUUUUUUGAAGUCGUGUGCAAUGGCACUACUUGCACACCCUCAACGCCAUCUCUGCUUGUCUCCAAUAGAGUCCCCUUAUCUAAUAGAGUCACAAGGACAAUUUGGAUCAAUAUAAUAGAGGCAGCUAAAACAUGGAUGGGUCUAAAAUAUACCUAAAAGUGAACUCUAAAGAAAAUAAAAUAUGUUUUUAGUCCAAGUAAUGGGUAACGUCAUUAAACAUUCUUCAAUUCCAUUUUAUAUUUAAGAACGUGGAAUAUAUAUAUAUAUAUAUAUAUAUAUAUAUAUAUAGUAACGAAGAAGCGUGUCUUUCAUGUCACUGAAUGUGACAUCCAGCAAUCAAACGGUCAAUGAGAGAAGUUAGAUUGAUAGAUAAGAUAGUCAUGUGACCAAUGGUAUUAAAUUGAAUUGAAUUGAUUUGGUAUUCUUGCCCUAAAAGAAAUUGAAUUGAAUUGAAUUGGUAUUAGGCUAUUAGCAUACGCAUGGACCCCUAAAAGGUCUAGACAUGGGUAAAAGGAAAAAUAAUAAACAAAUCUCAUACUUUUCCUUCGCAUGGAUCGUUGACUUUAAUAAAUUUAUUUGCUUUAUUCAAUAACUAUUUUGUACAACUUUACGUAUACUGUAUAUAACAACGUAAAUCACAUCGACGUACGUAUGAUUUGCAUGUCGAAAACGUUGUUGAAACAUGAUAACCUUCUUUGACUCCCAAAAGCCUUGAAAAAAGAAAAAUAUGAUGACUUCUUGGACAUGUCAUAAGGCUAGUGGUGGUGGAGGUGGGAUUCUUUUAUUUCUUAUAUUCCGUUAUAUGAUUCUUUCAGCCUUUGCUUUUAUUUCAAAAUAUAGAAGAAAGAAAAAAAAUCCUUGUUCCUUAAUGGCCAACAUAGGCCAGUGGUGGGCUCAAAAGCCCAAACUGAACCCACUUUCAAGGCACGUGAAAUGUGAAAGAACUCAUAUCUCAAAUAAAAAACACCUCUUUAAAAUGAAACUGAGCGAUUGAAAUGAAAGUACAGUUGAAUUCUUAAAAGUCAAUAGUGUCCUUACUUUUUUUUUAAUAAUUCUUGCAUAUUUAAGGUAUACCAUGUGACUAGUGUACCAUCCAAUAUACAUGUAACAUAUGAAAAUAUUAUCCAAUAUUGUCUUGUGUGUAUUGAAUGGUAAUGAUGUGGUGUACCUAUACAAAUUUUUUUUUUUUUUUUUCCCCUUACUUUGAGAAGUUGGUUUUGGGCUAAUGCAUAAAACUUUGAUAUUUGGUGACCAGAGAACAGUGGGCUGCUGGACUAGGAUAUUUCAGUUAUGAGGGUUGGGCUUGGGAAUUUGAUAUUGGGUUGCUAGACUUGGACAUUUCGAAAAUAUUAAAAAAAGAAACACCCGAUCUUGUCCGGUUCAGUCUUUAAAUCUAAGCUGAUUUUUUUAGUCAACAUGAUUUUUAUUUACUCAGUUCGUUGAUUCUGUGGUUUUUAUGCCAACCCCUAUUUCAAAGUGUCUCACCCGAUUUUUACUUAUUUUUGGUUUAAGCAUUAUAAAUUAAACCAGAUUAACAAACAAGAGAAUAGUUACCCUUUUAUUAUUAAUUAAUCUAUGUCCAUUUACCAUUUUAUUUCAAUAGCUAGAGAAAUUAAAGAAAGAAGGCGUAGAAAAGUUGAAGAAAAAAGGGUGCAGCAAGAAGAAGAUGAAAAUUUUGCUGUGGCAGUGGGUUUGCUUGAUUUAGAAAGCCAAGGUUGUCAACGUGGUUCAUAAGUUGGCCGUGGCCUAAACGUGGAUAGACAUAGGCAUUCUCGGGGUAAGAAUCUUUUGGAAGAUUACUUUAUCCCAAAUUUUGUGUACUUUAAUGUUGAUUUUCAAGGGCGAUAUAGAAUGCAACCUCAUUUGUUCAAUAAAGUCAUGCAUGAUGUUUGCAAUUACGAUGCAUACUUCGUUCAGAAAUGUGAUUUUGCAGGGGUUUUAGUGAUUCUUCCAGAGCAAAAGCUUACAGUUGUUAUACGAAUGCUGGCGUAUGGUUCAUAUGCUGAUAAUGUGGAUGAGAUUGCUAGGAUGGGGAAGUCCACUACUCUAGAGACCAUGGUCAGAUUCUAUGACGCAAUCGAAACUCUCUACACUAGGGACUAGCUCUGCAAACCUACGCCUAGGGACCCCCAAAGGCUUCUACAGAAAGUCGAAGCUUGAGGUUUUCUAGGUAUGAUUGGAAGUAUCGAUUAUAUGCACUGGCAAUGGAAGAAUUGCCCAACGUCCGGGCAAAGAGAUUAUGAAAAUAGGAAAGGACAAAAAAGUAUCAUUCUCGAAGCCGUUGCUAGAUUCGAUACAUGGGUUUGACAUGCCUUCUUUGGAGUUGUCGAAUCUCAAAACGACUUGAAAGUGUUGGGUCAAUCCCUAGUUUUCAACGAUGUCUCGAGAGGUGAAGCCCUAAAUAUCACUUAUGAAAUCAAUAAUACUGUCUACUGGAAUGGUUAUUAUCUAGCAGACGGCAUCUACCCGAGGUGAACCACAUUUGUCAAAUCAAUUCUGAAUCCCCAAUCCGAGAAGCAAAAAUUAUUUUCUGUCUAUCAAGAUGGUUACAGGAAAGAUGUCGAAAGGUGUUUUGGUAUCCUCCAAGCAAGGUGGGCGAUUAUUAGGGGUGUUGUGUGUAUGUUUGAUAAGGAAGUGCUGAGGAGGAUUAUGAUGACUUGCAUCAUCCUCCAUAACAUGAUUGUGGAGGAUGAGUAUGAUUGUGAUGCUCAAGAUGUGUUCGAACCGGAUCCCAUGAACACGGCCUUAACAAGAAUUUAUAAAAGGCUCAUGGGACCAAAUGGACAACCACUAGAGCAUGAUCUGUUGGUUAGGGACGAUCGUUUCAUGAACUGUAUGAUUGAUCGAUAUACGGAGAUGCAAUCAUUUUAUAUUCAUGAACGACAAGUUGACUUGAUGGAUCAUUUAUGGACGGUGAGAGGCAAUGACGGUGAAUGAAGUGAAGUGAAGAUGCAUUGUUUUUAAUUUUACUUUGUGUUGAUAUUUUAUUUUUAAUUAUGCUUUGGUUGUAGUUGUUUUUAAAGACAUUAAAAACAUUAAAGACAUUAAAGUAUUUCAUGUCAAAAAGUGGUUGGCUUGUGCACUAGAAAGCUUAACACUUACAGAGCAGCCAUUAAAGUAUUUCAUGUUGGGUUUUGGCCAAUGCCGUCGACAAUUUAUGGCAAAAGGUGGUUGGCUUGUGCUUCUAAUUAUGUUAGCAGGAGGUAUAGGAAUGCUUACUAUAACUUUUGGCGGACCUCAAGAAGAGGUAUUUUUAUGCCCAUUAUUUAUUUAAUUGAAUUGCAUUUUUAUGCCCACUUUUGGACUUUCCUUUAUUGAUUUUAUACAUUGAUCAUACUGCAGCAUAUUCAGGAGCUUGUUCGUCGUCUCCAAUUCGGACUCUGGUGGCUGGCUCUUGGUAAGCAAUAGCAUGAAAUUUUGACAUUCUGGUGGAUAGAGUUGACCUGUUUUCGACAACACUCGGAUUGAUUUUAUUAUAUUGUUCUUCUAUGCAGGAUCUGGUUUGCACACAUUUGUGCUAUAUUUAGGGCCUCAUAUAGCUCUGUUUACUAUGAAGGCAGUGCAGUGUGGCAGAGUUGACAUAAAAAGUGCCCCGUAUGACACCGUUCAAUUGAAAAUAGUCCUUCAUGGCUGGACAGAGACUGCUCUGAAUUCAGGGACCCCAUAUUUUUAUCGCAGCACAGUUCAAGGGUUCCACUUAGCAGCAUAUUGCCUCAGGUUCAGUUAGAGGCUAUCCUAUGGGGAAUCGGAAUCAGCGGCGGACCUAUUAAGGCGCUGCACAUCUUCUUAUCGGAAAAAUUAUUAUAGGUACUUCAAACUGCUCAUUUGCUCAACUGGUGUAUAGAUUACCUUAUUUAUUUUUAUAUUACUUCAUUUAUUUAAGUUUACAAUGUAAAUAAGGAAGUACCUGUUAUAAAAAAUAAUAGUUUUCCUCUUUCUGUAAAGCCAAAUACAAAACAUUUAUAUUAUAAAUAACAUAUAAACAAAUUAGAAAGCUUUGAAGGUAUAAUGAAAUUGAAGAAAACAAAAUAAUAGGUAAGUAAAAGGAAAAUGAAUAAUAAGUAAGAAGGUGAGUUUGGUACGGUGAAGCACGUCAAAAACGCUGUCCUAAAGCUUUUGUAGCCUCCCUACGUGCAAGUACUGACGGUCUACAAGACUCCAAGAUAAGACCCCUUAUACACAAACUCAAGAUCCGCUAUGAGCACGUUCAUAGACAGAUAUAGGUAUCCAAGUCACAUAACCAUUGCCCAAAAUAAUAAUAAUAAUAAAGUAGAGAAUAUAUGUAAAAGUAAAAAAGGAGAGAAUCAGAAUGUGGUAUAAAACAUGUAACAUUCACCAACCAUAAAAGUUCACCAACCAAAAAAUUAAGCCAUUCACCAACCAGAAAUAAAACCUAAAUAUUAAAUAUUUAUAACCCCCACAAUAAAUAAAAUAAACCAACCAAAAUAAUUAAAUAAAUAAAACGGUUAAAUUUUUAAAACCUUUUAAAAUUCCAAGAGUACCCCCCAUUUGGAUUCAAAUAAAAAUAAUAGAAAAUCAAAUUCCCACCAUAUCAAAAUAUGAAAAAUUGAUUUUAGUGCAAAAUACGAUUUAGGCUAAAAAUGAUGGCUCAUUAAGUCAAUAUAUUCUUCAUACUAAAAUCCCAUAAAAUCAAGUUUUCUUAUUUGAUGUGUAAGGAAUAAUAGCCGCCAAAAAUUAUCUUGAGAAAAUGAUUAUUCUGAAAAAUCAUUUUUCAUACUUAGUCAAUAUUGCACCUCUGCUAAAAAAAUUCUGAGUCCACCAAUGAUCGAAACUGCACUGGGAGAGCUUCCUCCUUAUUUCAUAUCAAGAGCUGGUAACUAAAAAACAACAAACUAUCUUCUUGUACUCACUGUCUCGAUACUCUGCAAUCGUCGUAGUAAACAAUUUCUAGGCAGGAACAGCCUGUUAGAAAAACUUCUAACUUAUCCAUGCACUUAUUUCAUGUCCCUUUAUAAGUCGGGAGUAUAUCUGGAUUCUUUAACCUGACUACAUAGUGUAAGGGUGAGUGAGUUGCAUAUGUUGAACCACUAAUUUCUCCCUGAACGAAUUUCUGAAUCUCUCCUAAUCUAUGAUUAUGUGCAGCUCAACCUACAAAUAAAUAGACUCCAAAAUAGUAUAUUAGUCUUGUACUUGGCCUAAUUCUUUACCCCAACCUGAACAACAAUCACAAAACCGUCAAUAAAAUGAAUAGGAACAAAAAAAGAACAAAACCACAACAUAAUUAACUUGAAUAUCAGAAAGCAAUAUGCUAAUUUGCGGUAGAGAUUUGUUCUUUUCUUUUUUCUUUUUUAACCUUUUGAAUUGUAUAACGAUCAUCAAUUUUAUAGGCUUUGAAUAUCAAACAAAAAGUGCAAAGAAAGCAGCCAAAAGUUGGGACCAGCUUCAACCAUUAUCUCCAAGGCCAUGUACAAUUGCCACUCAGGCAGUCUAUUUUCACAAAUUGAAAAUGCAAUUACGUGGUUCUUGUUUAUCAAUUGCCAACUUGACGUGGCUGAAGAAUAACAACAAUAAAAAUAGAAAGAAAAGAAAACUGAACUGCAAUUCACUACAGAAAACAAACCAAAAAUAAAUAAUAAACAAGGACUUUCCCUCGUCACUCUCAUCUUCAAUUCAGCCCCAUGCCUUACGUCACCAAGCUCAUACUUCUUUAUUUUACUACAACAUAGCCACGUUAUGUUGCCAAUUGACAAACAUGCACUAUGUAAUUGUUAAUCUUUUUUUUUUCUUUUUUUGAAAAGAAACAAAUAUAUUAAAGCAAUUAAAUUUAGUGCUUUUAACCAUUAUAAUCACACAAAAUCUAAUGAAAAUAUUAUUUUUUAAAAAUAUAUAAAUAUUAACAUAUCAAUUAACUUUAACUUUCAUUGCAAGUGUUAAUAUCUUAGUCAUAAGUAAAUAACAAACAUUGAUGAACAUGCUGUAAUUGAAAUGCAAUUGAAUUUACAAAAAUUCAAUUGGCAGACAGAAAGCAGGUAAUUGAAUAUGUGAAAUUUAAUUGCAUCAAUGGAGUGGAAUGCACUAAACAAGUUGAGAAAACUAAACAUACUCCAUGUUUUACUUUAUUAACCAAUAUUGUCCAUUUUGUUAAAUUACCAUUAAAAAAUUCAUUUAAAUAUUUUAAGUUCUAUUUAUAAAGAAAACAAAUAUGAAUUAAAAGAAUAAAAUUUAAUUAAAAAAAUUCUGGAAACCCGACAGCCUCUAUGUCUUUCUCAUGCAACCACCACCACCCAACCCACACCACAACCACCAUGAGUAGUCCCAGCCACCACCUUAUUCUCUCUCUCUCUCUCUCUCUCUCUCUCUCUCUCUUUCAAUUGUCGAAUCCCAACAUGGCAACCAAGUUCUUCAGUUUCUUUUUGCUGAUUAUUUUGCUCUGCUCCACAUUCAUUGCAAUAAAGUGCCCGACCCUUCAAUAUCAUGAGUACAACAAUUGGAGGUUUCCUUGAUGGGAAUCGGGCCCUAGCCUAGGUGAGGGGCACUUACGAACCAACAAACCCUUGGAGGGAUAAAGAAAUCUGGCCCGAGCCCUCCCUUCUCUCCCCGAUCCAUCCCACCCCACCCCACAACUCCUCCAUCUCUCUUUCCUCUCUCUUUCUCUCUCCCUUUUUCCAUCCAACCCACGCCCACAAAAAUAUGAGUGAAAUAAAGAUUCAACAUCAGUAUUGGCAGGCAACUGAUGGUUGUGGUGUUGGGUUGGGUAGCGGCAGCAGCAUGAGAGGAGGACACAUAGUCUGUUGGGUUUCCAAAAUUUCUUUUUUAAUUUUUUAAUUUUUUAAUUUUUAUCAACAUUAUAAACUGAACUUAACAAAUUUUUUAAUUAAUUUUUAAACUUUAAUGAAUUUUUUAACAAUAAUUUAAUACAAUUGACAACAUUGACUAAUGGAGUCAAACACAGGAACUAAAUUGAUCAAAUUAAAUACAAGAUAUUAAAUUUGCCAAAUGUACAAAUUACAUGGACUAUUUUAAUAUUUAAGCCUUAAUUUUAUAGAAGCAGUUAGACUUAAUAAAUUUUAUAUUGUUUUUGCUUUUCCUCGGUGAUGAUUUUCAUUUAAUUUUUGAACAGAUGAGACAGAGGCAACUGAUUCUAUGCACUUGCAGGCAUGCUGAGAUUGAGGCGCUUAUACAUAUUGUCAUGGAUGAUUUCAAAGAUGCUUUUGCUGCCCCCUCUCAAAUAUGCUUAUUAAAAGUAAGGCUUAAAAUUCUGAUUUUCGUAGUUUCCAGUAUCUUGGAUGAAAUGUUGAUAUUGCAUAUGCCUAGGCUGUUGCUGCAGAAUUUUCUGACCGAAGGCUUGCAAUGAAGCUAACGAACCAAUGAAUACAGAGCUAUUUAUAUAAAGAUAUUGUAGCUGUAAUAUUGUAGGUCCAGCAGAUGAAGAUGAAGAUGAAGAUGAAGAUGCUCAACUUAACAAUCCAAUAUUACUGCAACUGCAAUAUUGUAGGUCAUGUUUCUAGCUUAUUACACAUAAGGAAUGCAUUAUACUAAUUAAUUAUAUAUAGUAAUUGCAACUUGCAUUAUAUUAAUUAACUUUAGUCUAUAUGCUAGCUUGAGAGGCUUAGAUUGAGACACUGUUGGGAAUUCCCCUGCCAGUAAGUCCUCCUCCGCUAGUAGGAAACAGCAAAGUGUAUGGCAUCUUCACCGGUCCAACUCGGUUCUUCAGUUUCUCAUCAUUGUUCAUACUUUCAAUUCUGUCCUCAAUUUCAGCCAGUUUCCUUCCAAAUUUAUCAAAGACUUUCAAUGGUUCUGUGUCUGCUGUCCACUCAGGAGUGUCUCUCUGCCCCAAAUACACUUCAUCAGUAGAAUGCCUUGACAGAAUUUCAAUGAGGGCAAUGCCAAGCACUGUCUGCAGCUGAGCAGUAAUUGUUUUCAAGAAAACUGUAUCGGGGCUGGAUUCGAGCUCUUUGUACUCAGGAGUUCCCUUCUCAGGCAUGAAUUUUCGGCUUAAAGUUGGGCGGUUGGGGAGGUAUCCUGCAUAAGGGUACUGUCCAAAGUUGACUGCUGCAUGGAGAGCAGAAGCAGUCCAUAUGAUGAUAGUGCAUGUUUCGACUAGGUCUUCACGAGUCUGCAUUUUAGGCCACCAGGGCUCAUCUUUUUUGUCACCAUGGCCUUCCUCUACAAGCUCCUUCCACCAGGAUUGGAGUUCAGUGUCUUUUUGAAUUAUGUCAUCAGUCUUGUAGUAGAAAGAGCAAUAGUCUUCAACCCAAGUUUUAAUUGCAAACCAGAUUUCAAUCCCAUCAACAGCAUAUGGAUAGUCCUCGAUCAGUAGGCGAAGACCAUGUGGAGAAUUUGCAUCCUUGACUGCAACUCCUCUGUAUUGAUCAAAGGCAAUGCAAU